GAUGAACGCUGGCGGCGUGCUUAACACAUGCAAGUCGAACGGAAAGGCUCCUGCUUGCAGGGGUACUCGAGUGGCGAACGGGUGAGUAACACGUGGGUGAUCUGCCCUGCACUUCGGGAUAAGCCUGGGAAACUGGGUCUAAUACCGGAUAGGACGAUGGUUUGGAUGCCAUUGUGGAAAGUUUUUCGGUGUGGGAUGAGCUCGCGGCCUAUCAGCUUGUUGGUGGGGUAAUGGCCUACCAAGGCGUCGACGGGUAGCCGGCCUGAGAGGGUGUCGGCCACAUUGGGACUGAGAUACGGCCCAGACUCCUACGGGAGGCAGCAGUGGGGAAUAUUGCACAAUGGGCGCAAGCCUGAUGCAGCGACGCCGCGUGGGGGAUGACGGCCUUCGGGUUGUAAACUCCUUUCGCUAGGGACGAAGCGUUUUGUGACGGUACCUGGAGAAGAAGCACCGGCUAACUACGUG
rnacentral:rRNA from 1 species